GACGAACGCUGGCGGCGUGCCUAAUACAUGCAAGUCGAGCGGACGGAUGGGAGCUUGCUCCCAGACCGUCAGCGGCGGACGGGUGAGUAACACGUGGGCAACCUGCCUGUAAGACUGGGAUAACUCCGGGAAACCGGGGCUAAUACCGGAUAACUCUUUCCCUCACAUGAGGGAAAGCUGAAAGAUGGCAUCUCGCUAUCACUUACAGAUGGGCCCGCGGCGCAUUAGCUAGUUGGUGAGGUAACGGCUCACCAAGGCGACGAUGCGUAGCCGACCUGAGAGGGUGUUCGGCCACACUGGGACUGAGACACGGCCCAGACUCCUACGGGAGGCAGCAGUAGGGAAUCUUCCGCAAUGGACGAAAGUCUGACGGAGCAACGCCGCGUGAGUGAUGAAGGUUUUCGGAUCGUAAAACUCUGUUGUCAGGGAAGAACAAGUACCGGAGUAACUGCCGGUACCUUGACGGUACCUGACCAGAAAGCCACGGCUAACUACGUG
rnacentral:rRNA from 1 species